UUUAAAUAACCAUUCAAACUUAGCCAAUAUGGCAACCUCAAGUCUCAAAAACAUAAGCCAAUAAUAAAGUAGUGACAAAUGAAUUUAACUAACUGACUGGCUGUCUAUGAAGCCUCUAAACAACUGAGAUUGAUGUCGGGACAGGCCCACAACAUCCUAAUGAUCUAAUAAUAAAAUUGAAAGCAAUAAAAGAGAUCCUCCGAAAGCAAGGAGGCUCACCACAAGACUCUGAGUGCUCAAACUGGAUCAACGAGGCGCUAAAUGCUGAUCCUGGUUACAUACGUCUGCAUCAUAAUAAGAUGCAGGCCAACUGACAUCAAUACAUUGAAUGUACGAGUAUGCGAGUUGGAAUGCUAAACACAACUUAAGUUUGAAAGAAUCUGAAAGGAACACUUACCUUGAUUUAACUCCUGAAUAACUUAACUCAAUAUAAAACAAUAAAACAUAUGCAAUAUAUAGAAAGCUUGUAAAAACAGUGCAAACAACUCAGUUUGUUAAAGAAAAUGCAAUAAUAAACUCAAUUCUACUCAUAUAAUAAAGUAAUAUAGUUUCUGUGGGAGAUUCUCUAACCGACAAUCAUCACUAUGAGCCUAAGUAGUGAUACAACGUCUUUUCCACGCUGCCAGAACUAUCCUAUACUUUGUCGUCAUAUAGAACUACUUAACCUAGUGGAUCCACUAGCUUAUGCUAAAAGCAUCUUAAGGAGUCAUCUACAAAGAAUGAUUCUUUACUACCCAUGAUGGCUACUUGGUUUAUGGAGACUUGAGUUAAUAUGAACUCGCAUCCCCCAUAUCGGUGCUCAAUACUACUCCCAAAAAUAUACUUAGCUCAUAUGUUUUUAAAAACAAGCUUCUUUCUUUGGUUUGAGAUAAUUACUCAAAACUUAGCUUAAAAGCUCUCUUGGAAUCGAUGUUCCCUUUCUUGUUCAAAUGUGAAACCAUUUUUAAACUCUUCGGGAAUACAUAGUCCCCAUAUACUUCUUUGAAGAAAUGAACUUCAAUAUUUACUCUUUACUCUUUACUCAACUUGAACUUUAAGUCUUGAAACAAAGUUAAAAUGUUUGUAAGAGACUUUUGAAAGCUUUAAAGAAUUUCUCUUGACUUGCUUCUUAACUUUUAACUUGACUCUUAACUUUCCUUGAAUUGAAUUAUGGAUUCAAGGAUUGUGAUUUGUGAUAGGAAAGAUCUCAUGAUAUUUAGGAAUGAUUUUAGAUAGCUAAACAUGAGAAAAGAUCAAGAAAUUACUAUCUGAGGGUGGGUUCGUGACGCAGAGAAAUAUUUAAAUUUUUGGUUCGAAAACAACUUUUGAGGCAGAACGCUUCGUGACCGCUCCGUGACGCGAAACGAUUUUUCCCAAAUCUGGGGAGCAGGUCCGUGACGCGGAGGCACUGCCCAGUUUUGCCCGACGAAAUUCCUUUUUCGUUUUUCAACUCUAAACCCUCUAAACUCCAUUGGUUCUUUUCCCAAACACUUAGAAUUAUUUAUACCCUCAAACAACAUCAGAUUCUACUCGAAAACACAACUAAAAACGUGAAUCAAUCUCAAGAAAACUCCAACAACACAACCCACAAGGAUACAAACGAACUUCAUCAAGAAUUCAAGGGAUUUACUUUCAAAUCAAUAUACUUUGCUGAAAUUGAAUCAAGUUGGGCGCGUGGGUAGAAAAUCUUACUUCUCUAUGUAUGCUAUGGGAGAUGGUUUGUGUUAGAAAGCAUAUGCUCUAAGGCAUCCAAAUUAUUAGCAUGAAAUAGUUAGAAUGUGAAUUGCUGUUUAACUGAUUUGACUUAACUGGUUUGUAAAUAAAGUAUAUGGAGGUAUAAGCAUAUGAAGGAAUAGACUACUACCAAUGAGGUACAAAAAUAAGAUGUUACAGAAAUACUCUCAUAUGUUGUAGAACUAAGAUAGUGGAUAGGCAUAAGGACCUGAAUAAGUAACUUCAUCUGGAUUUUACUGUCAAUUCAAACAAGCUUCAUUCAUCCAUCACUCUCAUUUUUCCAUGUUUAAGUUACAUGCAUCUGAAAUCUUCUUCCUUGCAGAUAUACUAAUAAAAAAUGAAGCUACAAGAAUCUAGUACUUUACCACUUUUAACUUUGUUCUCACUUAAGCUUUGUUGAUACUGUCUGUCAUUGCAUAGUCUACGAAUAUACAGAUAUUGUCUUGGCCUACUCUUCAUUUUGGGAAUUGGAUCACUGUAAAAUUUCUCUUUUAUGUGUUUAAGAAUGAGAGAGCAGCAGAGGAGCAAAAGAGGUAUGAUGAAAGUGUCUUGUCUUUGGCAGAAGAACAGAAGGUUGUAAGCUCAUUCUGUGUGUUUACUCAAUUUCUGUAGUUAUGUAGUUAGUCUCUGACAUCUUGAGAAUUUUACAUGCAGAAGGCGAAAGAAACUCUCCGUCAGAAGAACAUGGAGUUUCAAAAGAAACUCGACUUAAAGCAAGCGCUAGAGUUGGAGAUUGAACGUCUCACAGGGGCCAAGAAUGUAACUGAACAAAUGUGAGAUGACCAAGAGGUGAAGAAAAAAUUCGACGAGAUCGAAGAGAGCCUAAAUGAGAAAAAAGAAGAACUAGAAGAUCUUGAAGCUUUGAAUCAAGCUCUAGUUGUUAAAGAGCAGCGGGCAAAUGUUGAGUUAACAGAUGCCAGGAAGGAGCUGAUCGAUGUAAGUACAACUCUUUCAAGUUCUGCAAUACCCUUAUCUAUUUUGUGAAUAACACUCAAGUUUCCAUUUUUCCUCCAAUGGAGUAAGAACAUCAGAAUGAUUAGGAGCAGGCUAUAGCACGUUCAAUUCGUUACAUGUUCAGUUUUCGUUCUCAACCUAUUACAAAUUUCAUGCACCAUCAACUGAGCUUCUAUUAUAGUCUAUGUUGUUGAACAUUCAAGUAUUCUUACAAGGUGAAAAUUUUGACAAAUGAAACAUGUUUCAUGGCAUUUCGUUAAUAAAGAAGCACUCUUUUCGAGCUUCCAUUGGUGUCAAGAGAAUGGGAGAACUUGAUAGUACAAGAUUUCGUGAGAUAACCAAGAGCAAAUUUCCUGGAACAGAUGCAGAUUUAAAAGCUACUCAGUUGUGCUCAAUCUGGGCACCUUGUGGAUCCCGAUUGGCAUCCUUUCAAAUAUGUAACAAGAGAAAAUGGUUCCAAGGUAAUAAUGCAAUAUAAUAGACUUAUACUAGUUGUUUUCCAUAUCUUUAUCCCCUUGAAUCAAAAUACUUAGAACUUAAUUAUUCCUUGUGUCUUGGUAGGAAAUCAUCAUUGAUGAUAACGACGAAAGGCUGAACAGGUUGAAACAUGAGUUUGGACAAGCCGCUUAUGAUUUGGUAACUGCUACUUUGAUGGAAAUUAAUGAAGGUCCCAGUGGUAGAUGCAUAACAACAGAGUUGUGGAACUAUAAGCUAGGAAGGAAAGCUACCCUCAAUGAAGGAAUAACUUUUGCUCUCCAGAAGUUAAAGAUCAGUAAAGGGAAGAAGCAGCAUUAACUUUCAUGGUUACAGUUUACGUACCAUCUUUCGAAUGGCAUGUUAUACCUUUUCUCUAUGGUGAUAUCUAUUUUAGACAAAAGAAAUUGAACCAUUUGAAGUAGGUUCCUUCAAAAGAAAAGGAAUCCAAAGCACUUGCUUUAGAGAAUCCAAGAUUGUCUAUGGAUUAGCAAAAGCAAAUGUGCACUUGAGUAGUAGUAGCAUCAAAGUUAUCCAAACUUUCAAACAUUGAAUAGCAUCUAGAAUCUGUUUUUCCAUUUUGAAUUGACAUAUUAUCUCAUUACUUUAGUAUCUGUUUUAGUCCUAAGUAUCUUGAUGAUACAUUGAAGUGAUGAAUGCCUAUAUACAUUGGUUUAGUUUAAACACUAGGUGCGACUAAAUUUUUUUCCAUUUUGAAUGACAUUAUCUCAUUACUUUAGUAUCUGUUUUGGUCCUUCCAAUCUCAAUGAUACAUCGAGGUGAUGAAUGUUGUAUUUGUUGGUUUAGUUUAAACACCAGGUGCGUCUAAGUUUUUUCCAUCGACAUGUGCUUGUCAGGCAAAGUUCAAGCAUUAAAGCUAGACUAGAAAUGAUAUCCAAAGUUCUGCACUUGAGUAAUAUCAAAGUGUAACAUACCAAAAGAAUGUAGAUUUUUUCGAUUAAAGUAAAUUACUGAAAAUACAGUAAGUACACUGCUCAAGCAUCAAGUACUACAAAACAUUAUACUGAUACAAAAAAAAAGGCUAAAAAUGUUAAAAGAGAAAACCCGAAUUCAUUAGGGUCUAAACAAAUAAAAACUCAAAGUACACGAACCAUGUUACAACAAAAAGGAAGAAGAACUUCAGGUCUACAAGGUGUAAACAGUAGGAAAUAGCAGCUGUAAAUUGCUACAGAAAAUUUGAAAGUGAAGAAGGCUGAAGUUUUCUUGAGUACAACUUUUUUUUCACUCGAAGUUUCAUUACAUAUGGUGUAUUUAUAGAUAAAGUGUGAGAAUUACAACCACAUAAUAAGCAAAAUAUCUCAUACCAAACUAUGUACAAAAAUGUGGCUCACUAACCACCACUCAUUUUUAAUCAAGACUAACAUAUCUAUUACAAAAUAUCUCCAACCUAGGAGUUUCUAGACAAAUCUUACUUUUCUAACAUAUCUAAUACAAAAUAUCUCAAAUCUAGGAGUUUCUAGACAAAUCUUAAUUUUCUAACACUCCUCCUUAAGAUUUUUCAUUGAAACUCCUUGCAACAACCUUUGAAACUCAAACUUCUUAGUGGAAAGAGCCUUGGUCAGAAUAUCGGCCUGCUGAUCUUCACUGAUGCAAUGCACCAACUUAACUUCACCAUUCUUCUCGGCAUCUCUUAAAGCAUGAAACCUUAUGUUGAUGUGCUUUGUUCUUCCAUGCUGCCCUGGAUUUUGAGCCAUCACAAUGGCUGAUUUAUUGUCCACAUAGAUCACUGUUGGUUCUUUUGGCAACAAAUUCAAUUCCAACAAGAUCUUUCUUAACCAAAUUGCUUGAUUUGUAGCAGAUGCAGCAGCCACAUACUUGGCUUCUGUUGAAGAUUGUGCGACAAUAUCUUGCUUCUUUGUGCUCAAAGAAAAAAUGCCUGAACCAAACGAAAAACAGUAACCAGAAGUGCUUUUGUAAUCAUCCAAACAUCCACCCCAAUCACUAUCUGAAUAGCCAAUAAGAGCUCCAUUCUCCACAUUUCUAUACCAGAUUCCAUAAUUAAUCGUCCCUCUAAUGUACCUUAACACCCUUUUAGCGGCUCCAAAAAUGCUUAGUGCUGGGACUUUGCAUAUAUCGAGAUAACAAACUGACAACGAACAUUAUGUCUGGCCUAGAAGCUAUUAGAUACAAUAGACUUCCAAUUAGACUUCUAUAAACUUUUUGGAUCUGCCCUCUCUUCGUCAUCAUCCUUCAUUAAUUUUUCAUUCACAACAAGUGGAGUUGCAACAACUUUGCACUUGUCAAGCUUGAACCUUUUAACAGAUUCAAGGCAUACCUCUUUUGGGAACAAGAAAAUUCCUUCACAAGAUUGAGAUAUCUCCAUUCCCAGGAAAAACUUCAUUUCUCCUAGAUCAGACAUCUCAAAAACAUUUAGCAUUUCAUUUUUAACUUCUUGAACCGCAAGAGGAUUUUCACUUGUAAUCAUCAAAUCAUCGACAUAAACUGAUAUCAUAAUCAACAUCCCAUCCGCUUGCCUUUUGGAGUACAAAUUAGGCUUAUUUAGGCUUCUGUUGAAGCCUUGAGACAGCAAAUGAGAAUCCAACCUACUAUACCAAGCUCUUGGGGAUUGUUUAAGACCAUAGAGAUCCCUUUUAAGCUUGUACACCUUGUCUUCUUCACCUGCAACUGUAAAACCUUCAGGUUGUUCAACAUAAAUGUCUUCCUCAAGCAAUCCGUUGAGAAAUGCAGAUUUUACAUCCAAAUGGAAGAUUUUCCACUAGUAUUGUGCUGCGAGAGCGACUAGAAAUCUUACUGUCUCAUGCUGCGCAACAGGAGAAAACGUUUCUCCAAAGUUCACUCCAGGAUGCUGAGAAUAACCUUAAACUACAAGUCUAGCUUUAUUCUUGAAGAUGGAGCCAUCUGGAUUGAACUUUUUUUGAUAGACCCAUUUGACACCGAUAACAUUCUUCUCUACUGGCCUAUCAACCAACUCCCAAGUAUCAUUUUUAUUAAUCAUGGCAAGUUCCUCCUCCAUUGCUGAAAUCCACACUUUGUGGUUUGCUGCUUCUUCAAAUGAGGAUGGUUCAACAAGAGUAAAAUUGCAUUGCUCAUAAACUUCUGCUAGUGAUUUGGUCUUCAAAACAUGAGAGUCUGUAGUCAAUUGAACAUCUAUUGAACAUCUGAAUUGUUUUUUGUUCCAUCAAUAGGACUAGAGAGAGUAUCACCUUUUUGCUGAUUAGGAGUUGCAGCUGAAGUACUCCCACCUUGGUUCUUCACAACAAUAUCUCGAUCCUAAUCAUAGUGGAUAGACUCAUCCACUGCAAGAUCUCUACUAACAAACACCUUCUUACUACUAACAUUGUACACUUUGUAUCCUUUUGCAACUGUACUAUAGCCCAAUAGAACACACAGUUCUGCCUUGCUAUCUAAUUUACCUUUUUUAGCAUCAGGAACAUGUGCAUAGCAUACCGAACGAAAUACAUUCAAGUGUCUCGUAGACUACUUGAUACCCUUCCAUGCUUCAAAUGGUGUCAUGUCUUGGACUGCUCUAGUUGGUAAUCUAUUUAGCAAAUAGACAGCGGUAUUGACUGCUUCAGCCCAAAAGUAUUUAGGCAUCUUCUUUUCUGCCAACAUGCAUCUCGCCAUCUCCAUCACAGUUCUGUUCUUCCUCUCAGAAACCCCGUUCUGCUGUGGAGUGUAGCUAACAAUGAAUUGUUAUUGGAUACCCAAAUCUUUACAAUACUUGCUGAACUGAUACAAAGUAUAUUCAGUUCCAUUAUCGGAAUAUACUUCCAUUUACAGCCACUCAUCCUUUCUACCAUAACUUUGAAUUAUUUGAAAACAGAAAACACUUGAUAUUUGCUACUAAGAAAGUAGACCCAUGUCAUUCGAGUCAGAUCAUCUACAAAGAGAACAAAAUACUUGUUUCCACUCAAAGAAACCGUCCUCAUUGGUCCACAUAAAUCUGUAUGAACCAACUCUAGCUUUUCCUUAGCUCUCCAAAGACUUCCUUUAGGAAAGGAUCGUCUAUGCAUUUUACCAAAUUGACAUGACUCACAAACAUCUCUACACAUGUCAAUUUUGGGUACUUCAAGCACCAUACCCUUUGAUUGCAUAUACAUCAGUGAGCAAAGAUUAUAAUGACUGAACCUUUUGUGCCAAAGCCAAGUAUCGCUCAAUUCAACACUAAUAGAGCUAGUAUCAAUAAAAUAGCAUGAAAUUAGAAAGGAAUUGUCAAUCAUGCUAAUUUUAGCUACUUCACAUCCUUUAGGAUCAUAAAUGUCACAUUGUUUGUCCUUAAAAUUAAGAGAAUAAUUUUUAUGAAGCAAUUGAGAAACACUUAACAAGUUUUGAGUCAAAUUUGGCACAUAAAGAACAUCAUUAAUAAUUUUCGUACCUUCGUCAGUAGGAAAUUUUACUGACCCUCUACCGUGAGCUUCCACCAAUGCGCCAUUUCCAAGUUUCACUUUGGUUCUAUCAGAUCUGUCCAAGGUAACAAACAUAUUUUCAUCAAUCGCCAUGUGCCUUGUGCACGCGCUAUCAACAUACCAUUUACAUUGGUCAUUAUGUGAUGUGUGCGAGGCCAUGAAAACCUCCUCCUCUGAUUUUCCAACUUGGUGAUGAUCUGUGAAAUUCACUCGAUGGGAAGACUGGCCACUUUGAUUUUGCUUUUGCCUACAAUACUUCUCAAUGUGACCAUACUUCUUACAAUAUCUACAUUGAAUUGGAGACCUCUUUGAAUUCUGCCAACAAUUCUUCUCUAAGUGGUUUGUCUUCUUACAAAUGCCACAUGGUGGAAAUUUUCCUUUUAUCGACAAAUCACCUUGGUUUCCACCAGAUUUAUCCAACCAGACUUUUCUACUUUCCUUUUGAUGUUUGCAUUUAUGCCUCGCUUGAAAGGCAUCUUUUACUAUCCCUUCACUUCUCAUAGUGACCCGUUGCUCUUGGACUUGCAAUUUGGAGAUUAGUUCGGCUAUUGUAAGAGUAGUCAAGUCACAAGACUCUUCAAUAGCUGAGAUUUUUGAUUCAAACUUGUCUAGAAGGCUAACCAAGAUCUUCUCUACAAUUUUCUGAUCUGGAAAGGUUUCACCAAGUAUUCUUAUCUGGUUCACAAUCUCCAUCAGCUUUGAAGAGUAUUCUUUCACACUAACUGAGUCUUCAAUCUUCAAAAGCUCAAACUCUCUCUUCAAUGCUAAGAGUCUAACAGACUUUACUCUAUUGCAGCCUUCAAACUCCUCCUUUAACUUAUCCCAAGCCUCUUUGGCUGUUUCACAAGUCAUAUUCCUCGUAAACAUCACGUCCGUAAGACUUGAAUGUAUGCAGGUGAGAGCUCGUGGGGAUCUAGUCACCAACUCAUCGUACUUCUUAAUUUCAUUGAGAGUUGCAUUAACUCUCAAUGGCUGGACAACAGGUUCUCCAAGCUCAACAACUUCCAGAAGUUGAGAGCCUUUAGAUAAGCCUUCAUUUUGAUGGCCCAUAUGUGAUAAUUCUCUCCGGUAAAAGUUGGAGGACCUGUCGUUGGUUGAUUUUCAGGUGCCAUGAAUUUUUUUCAGCAAGCAAAUUCAAGAAAGAACAUAAUGUAGAUGAGCGAAACAAACAAAAUUUGAUUCAGAUCCCUUAGGAAAUAGGCUCUGAUACCAUGUUACAAAGAAAGGGAAGAAGAACUUUUGGUCUACAAGGUGUAAGCAAUAGGAAAUCGCAGCUGUAAAUUGCUAGAAAAAAUCUGAAAGUGAAGAAGAAGGCUUAAGUUAUCUUGAGAUCAAUUUUUUUCACUAGAUGUUUCAUUACAUAUGGUGUCGAUGUUUUAUUACAUAUGGUGUAUUUAUAGAUAAAGUGUGAGAAUUACAACCACAUAAUAAGCAAAAUAUCUCAGACCAAACUAUGUACCUAUGUGGCUCAAUAACCACCACUCAUUUUUAAUCAAGACUAACAUAUCUAUUACAAAAUAUCUCCAACCUAGGAGUUUCUAGACAAUUCUUACUUUUCUAACAUAUCUAAUACAAAAUAUCUCCAACUUAGGAGUUUCUAGACAAAUCUUACUUUUCUAAUAUAUCUAAUACAAAAUAUCUCCAAUCUAGGAGUUUCUAGACAAAUCUUAAUUUUCUAGGGGGAAUAUUUUGAUGGUAAACUCCUUACCAAGUAUCAACCAUGCCUACUCUUUGAUUUUGCAAGAUGAGAAUCAGAGAGAUACUUAUCUCAGUCCUCAUCUUUCAUCUGAUUCCUCUUUUUCUUUCAUGGUGGGUAAUACCAAUCAAUACAAACAUGGAAAGCAGGCACAAAGGUAUCCAGCACCUUCACAAAGAUCUGGGAUCUCACAAUCAAGAAAAUCACUUUCCAAGAGCCACAAAGGUUCCAGAAACAACAAAAUCAAUUUCAGAAAUUCAAAGGAAAAAGGGCCAAGUAUGAUCCUAAUGUUACCUGUACAUAUUGUGGAAAAACAGGCCAUGUAGUGGAUAGUUGUUUUAGAAAAAUAGGUUUUCCAGAAAACUUUGUGUUCACAAAUGAUAAAGGAAUGCAGGGACAGAUUAGGGGAAAUUGAGCAUUGAUUACUGAAGACAAUGAAGGAAGAAACAAUGAUCAAACAUAUGUCACAAAUGUUGCUCACAAUUACAACAAAGAACAAUACAAUUAAUUUCUUCAUAUGUUUAGACAAAUGAAAAUGGAGGAGGCAUCACAGAAAAACACAGGCUCUGAGAUCAACAGUAAUGUUGUGGCUGGUACAAUUUCAAAGUAUCUUGGAUCCUGUUUUUCUGCUAUUCAUUCUAGCACCUGGAUCAUCGAUUCAGGUGCAUCUGAACAUGUGUUAUAAUCCCCAAUGUUUUACCUCCAUGCCCCCUCUUCAAUUCCCCUUGACCAUUAAUCUUCCUAAUUGUCAAACCAUUCAAGUCACUCAUUCAGGAACUGUGCCUAUAUUUUCUAAUAUCAUUUUACAAAACGUUUUGUAUGUUCCCAGUUUCAAGUUCAAUCUCAUGUCUGUUUAUAAAUUCUGUGUUCAAUUUCCUUACACACUAUUUUUUACAUCACAUGAAUGAGUGUUUCAGGACUCUUCAAUGAGGAGGGGUCAAGUUUUUGGUGAAGCCAAGGAGGGUCUCUACUUGCUACAACCCAGUCCUCAGAAGUGUAGUUCUUUUUUUAGCAAUAGUGUUUCAGUUUCACCACAUACUAUAUUUAGUGGAUCUAGUCCUUUAUCUUUACCCCAGUUCUUAUUGAAUCAGUUUCAGUUUCUCAUUCUGUAUAUACAAGUGCAACUUCUAAUGUAAAAUUGUGGCACAUUAGAUUGGGGCAUUUGCCUUACUCUUCAAUGAAAAAUGUUAGUUUCCUUUCUUUUCCGAGUAAUUAUGACUGUGUUUGUGAUGUGUGUCCUAAAGCUAGGCAAUCCAGGCUACCCUUUCCCAUUAGUCAAAUUUCUAGCAAAUCUGUUUUUGAUCUUAUCCAUGUUGAUACUUGGGGACCUUAUAAAGUAGCUACUCAUAAUCAUUAUAGGUAUUUUUUUGACUAUUGUUGAUGAUUUUAGUAGAGCUACUUGGACUUGUUGGCUACAAAGAGCAAUGCAUUCACAGUCUUGCAAAGUUAUUUACAAAUGGUGGAAAGACAGUUCAAUGCGAAGGUUAAAGUCAUUAGAUUGGAUAAUGCCUUAGAACUAGGAAAGAGUGAAGCGGGUUCUCAAUUCUUUAGUUCUCAUGGGAUUAUGCAUCAGACCUCUUGUGUGGCCACUCCACAACAAAAUGGGAUAGUGGAGAGAAAAUACAGACACUUACUAGAGCUUGCAAGGGCUUUAAUAUUUCAAUCUCAUGUUUCUAUCGUUUACUGGGGAGAGUCCAUCCUUACAACCACUUAUUUGAUUAACAGGUUACCUUCUAAGGUGCUCAAAGGAAAAACACCUUAUGACAUCAUAUUCGGGAAGUGACCAUCUUAUCAUACUUUGAAGUGUUUUGGAUGUUUAUGCUAUGCUAACACUUUAACUCAUGGCAGGGAUAAGUUUCAACCUAGAGCUAUGAAGUGUGUUUUCCUAGGUUAUCCUAGUGAUAAAAAAAAGGUACAAGUUACUGAAUCUUGAAAAUAAAAGGAUAUUUGUAUCCAGAGAUGUUCAUUUCUUUGAGCAUAUUUUUCCCUUUGUGGAUAAAUCUGAUGACAUUCCUUCUUCUAUAUUUCCAGAUUAUGCAAUUUAUCUACUGAUCAGCCUGAUUCUCAAACUGAUCUCAUUCCUCAUACCAUUCCAUCUACUAGUUCCUCUUCUUCACCAGAUCAUCCAUUCACUUCAUCAUCACCUGAUUCAACUCAUACUCAGAUUUCCCCUUGGUUCAACUCACUCUCAUAUUUCAUACCUUGAUUCUUCCAUUAAUAAUCCCAGAAGAUCUCACAGAAUAAAGAAACUUUACCGUCACAUCUUCAAGAUUAUUAUUGCAACACCAUUUUUUCAGUGAUGUGACAAACUCCUAUUUUGACACUCCUACUAAACCUAGUGUUAUUUCUUUUCAUGCUCUUUCUCUUUCUAAUAAAUCCAUCGUACAAUCAGUUUCUACAAUCACUGAGCCCACCAGUUAUAAAGAAGCUUUUACUCAUCCAGGUUGGAGGAAGGCUAUGGAUGAUGAAAUGGAGGCUUUACAAGCAAAUCAUACAUGGGUCUUAGUUGCUUUACUUCCGGGUAGACAAGCUUUACCUUGCAAGUGGGUUUACAAGGUGAAGCAACAUGCUGAUUGGAUACUUGAGAGGCUGAAAGCAAGGUUGGUGAUCAGGGGUGAUAUAAAGAAAGAGGGGAUAGAUUUCAAUAAGACUUUUUCCCCGGUGGUCAAAAUGACCACUAUCAGAUGUUUGCUAGCCAAUGCAGCCAAGAAGAAUUGGGAAAUUUCUCAAUUUGAUGUAAACAAUGCCUUCUUGCAAGAAGAUUUGCAAGAAGAAGUUUACAUGAAGUUCCCAAUUUGUGUUGAUCCUCCUAAAGCUAGUUUGGUUUGUAAGUUACAAAAGAUUUUAUAUGGUCUCAAGCAAGCCUCUAGGCAAUGGUAUGCCAGACUUGCAGGGGCCCUCAAUUUCAAAGGUUUUAUUGCCUCUUUGAUUGAUUAUUCUCUUUUCUUUAAGAAAGUAGGGGAUACUAUUGCUACUGUGGUUGUUUAUGUGAUGAUAUAUUGAUAACUGGAGAUGCUUACACUGUGAUAGAGGAUCUAAAAGUCUUUCUUAAUUCAGAAUUUAAGAUCAAGAGUCUUGGGUCCCUGCAUUACUUUCUUGGUAAGGGACAAUCAUGGUUUGAUAGUCAGUCAAAAGAAAUAUACCUCUGAUUUGUUGUGCGAAUUUGAUGUCUCACAUCUUCCUCCAAUUGCCUCUCCAUUGGAUCCUGCAGUGAAAUUUGUCACAGAAUUAGUAGAGUAUAUGGAAGAACAACCUUAUAUCAGCACAUCAUUGGUAAGUUAAAUUACUUAACUCAUACACGACCGAAUAUAUGUCAUGCAGUUUUGAUUCUCGGUCAAUUUAUGCAAAAACCAAGUCUUGAUCACUAUCAUGGAGCUUUGAGGGUUGUAAGUUACCUGAAACAGUAUCCGCAUCAGGGUCUAUUCUUUUCUUCUUCUCCAUCCUUUUCCCUUAAUGCUUUUUGUGAUGCGGAUUGGGCUUCGUGUAGAGACUCACUGAGAUCUAUCAGUGGUUUAUUCAUUAGUUUAGGGGGUUCCCCCAUUUCUUGGAAGUCCAAUAAACAUAUCUCUAUAUCCCUCUCUUCCACAGAGGCAGAGUAUCGAUCUAUGCGUCGAUUGGUAGUUGAAUUAACCUGACUUACUCUAUUACUAGAUGAUCUCUCUGUUCUGCCUCAACUUCUUGUACCUGUGCGGACGAAGCACGUUGAGUUGGAUUGUCAUUUUGUCCGUCAACAGUACUUGUUAGGGCUCAUUUCCCUAUCUUUUGUUCCUUCCAAAGAGCAACUCGCUGACAUAUUCACUAAGCCUCUUUAUGGCCCGCAACAUCAUGGAGUUCUAUGCAAGUAAGGGUCUCACUCCGCUCCCCUCCACCUUGAGGGGGAUGUUGGAAUUCAACCUUCUUCUACACCAUCUUCUCAACCAUUUAUAGCAUGUUCUAAUUUCACCAGAGAGAAGAUGAAGAUGUCUGAUGAUGUCUUGUUUGAGAAAAGCAAAUGGGCCAAGAGUGAUAUUGGGUCGCAGAAGAAGGCAC
rnacentral:lncRNA from 1 species